rnacentral:rRNA from 1 species
CAAACGCUGGCGGCAUGCCUAACACAUGCAAGUCGAACGGACAGAACAGGGAAGCUUUUCGGAGUGGAACUGGAAAGUUAGUGGCGGAUGGGUGAGUAACGCGUGGACAACCUACCUUGUAAAGGGGAAUAACCUCGAGAAAUCGAAGCUAAUACCCCAUAAUAACCUUGCUUCGCAUGAAGUAAGGAGGAAAGGCGGCCUUAGCGCUGUCGAUACAAGAUGGGUCCGCGUCUGAUUAGCUAGUUGGUGAGGUAAAGGCUCACCAAGGCGACGAUCAGUAGCCGGCCUGAGAGGGUGAACGGCCACAUUGGGACUGAGACACGGCCCAAACUCCUACGGGAGGCAGCAGUGGGGAAUCUUCCGCAAUGGGCGAAAGCCUGACGGAGCAAUGCCGCGUGAGUGAAGAAGGCCUUCGGGUUGUAAAACUCUGUCCUUAUCGAAGAGAGAGUGUUGUAGUAACUGACAAUACUAGGACGGUAGAUGAGGAGGAAGCCCCGGCUAACUAUGUG